rnacentral:rRNA from 1 species
UACGGGGGGGGCAAGCGUUGUUCGGAAUUACUGGGCGUAAAGGGCUCGUAGGUGGCCAACUAAGUCGGACGUGAAAUCCCUCGGCUUAACCGGGGAACUGCGUCUGAUACUGGAUGGCUUGAGUUCGGGAGAGGGAUGCGGAAUUCCAGGUGUAGCGGUGAAAUGCGUAGAUAUCUGGAGGAACACCGGUGGCGAAGGCGGCAUCCUGGACCGAGAUUGACGCUGAGGCGCGAAAGCCAGGGGAGCAAACGGG